rnacentral:rRNA from 1 species
AGCUCCAAUAGCGUAUAUUAAAGUUGUUGCGGUUAAAAAGCUCGUAGUUGGAUCUCAGUUCAUGCUAUGUGGUCCACUUGCCGGUGGUUACUACUUAGCUGAACAUUUUACAGACCUGUCUUGCGAUGCUCUUUACCGGGUGUCGUGAGCGAUCUGUACGUUUACUUUGAAAAAAUUAGAGUGCUUAAAGCAGGCGUAAUGCCCGAAUAAUCUUGCAUGGAAUAAUGGAAUAGGACCUCGGUUCUAUUUUGUUGGUCUUCGGAAUCUGAGGUAAUGAUUAAGAGGGACAGACGGGGGCAUUCGUAUUGCGGCGCUAGAGGUGAAAUUCUUGGACCGUCGCAAGACGAACUACAGCGAAAGCAUUUGCCAAGAAUGUUUUCAUUAAUCAAGAACGAAAGUA